rnacentral:rRNA from 1 species
AUUGAACGCUGGCGGCAGGCCUAACACAUGCAAGUCGAGCGGAGCGGCGGACGGGUGAGGAAUGGCAAGGAAUCGGCAUGGGAGUGGGGGAGAAGGUCCGGAAACGGGAGCUAAUACCGCAAACUAGCACAUGAGCAUAUGUCGGAUUAGCUAGUGGGUGGGGUAAAGGCAUACCAAGACGACGAUCCGUAACUGGUCUGAGAGGAUGAUCAGUAACACUGGAACUGAGACACGGCCCAGACUCCUACGGGAGGCAGCAGUGGGGAAUAUUGGACAAUGGGCGAAAGUCUGAUCCAGCCAUGCCGCGUGUGUGAAGAAGGUCUUCGGAUUGUAAAGCACUUUAAGUUGGGAGGCGUUACCAACAGAAUAAGCACCGGCUAACUUCGUGCCAGCAGCCGCGGUAAUUC